UUGAGGUUACGUUAAGGUUAGUUUGAGGUUACGUUAAGGUUAGUUUGAGGUUACGGUAAGGUUAGUUUGAGGUUACGUUAAGGUUAGUUUGAGGUUACGGUAAGGUUAGUUUGAGGUUACGGUUAGUUUGAGUUUACGUUAAGGUUAGUUUGAGGUUACGGUAAGGUUAGUUUGAGGUUACGGUAAGGUUAGUUUGAGGUUACGGUAAGGUUAGUUUGAGGUUACGUUAAGGUUAGUUUGAGGUUACGGUAAGGUUAGUUUGAGGUUACGGUAAGGGUUAGAGUUAGGGAAAGGCUUCAACUUUUGGGCUGGCGCAACUCCACCUCCGUAAAUAUAUCUGCCAGUUAAACAAACACCACCUUAAUCAGAACACAGUAUUAGUAUUAGUCUGUACUGGAACGUAUUGGAAAGUUUCUCCAGUUUAAAAUAUAGCAGUGUCUCCAACUCCACUCCAAGGUAUUCGUUGGCCAAACUGCUGUAGAUGCUGCCAAAGCUAAGCUUCUGCUCUGUGUUUUACUGCUGUUUGCAUGUGCCUCAGUCCUCACUUCUUCACAGCGGUUUCUCCUCUCAUUAAAGGGUUUUAAUCUG